GGAGAGAUGGCCGAGUGGUCGAAGGCACUCGCUUGCUAAGCGAGCGUACGGUGAAAAGCUGUACCGAGGGUUCAAAUCCCUCUCUCUCCGCCA
rnacentral:tRNA from 1 species